rnacentral:misc_RNA from 1 species
AAGUCGUAACAAGGUAACCGUAGGUGAACCUGCGGUUGGAUCAUUAAUAAAAGAAGGACUUUAGAGUCCCCUUUAAACGCUAGUGCCCCUUAAAACGGGCCUAGUAAACCCUUUGUGAACCGUUUAUUGUCUCUGGUGGGACCACUCUUUAUUGAGUACCCACCGGAAAACUUAUUUAACCCCGUUUUUAAACCAAGUCUUAUCGAAUGUAAAAAUUUGAAACAACUUUUGACAACGGAUCUCUUGGCUCUC